rnacentral:rRNA from 1 species
CAGAACCCUUCGGGGUGAUGUUUAUGGAAUGAGCGGCGGACGGGUGAGUAACACGUGGGCAACCUGCCUGUAAGAUCGGGAUAACUCGCGGAAACGUGAGCUAAUACCGGAUAACACUUUUCAUCUCAUGGUGAGAAGAUAAAAGACGGUUUCGGCUGUCACUUACAGAUGGGCCCGCGGCGCAUUAGCUAGUUGGUGAGGUAACGGCUCACCAAGGCGACGAUGCGUAGCCGACCUGAGAGGGUGAUCGGCCACACUGGGACUGAGACACGGCCCAGACUCCUACGGGAGGCAGCAGUAGGGAAUCUUCCGCAAUGGACGAAAGUCUGACGGAGCAACGCCGCGUGAGUGAUGAAGGUUUUCGGAUCGUAAAACUCUGUUGUUAGGGAAGAACAAGUUGGGUAGUAACUGACCCAACCUUGACGGUACCUAACCAGAAAGCCACGGCUAACUACGUGCCAGCAGCCGCGGUAAUACGUAGGUGGCAAGCGUUGUCCGGAAUUAUUGGGCGUAAAGCGCUCGCAGGCGGUCUUUUAAGUCUGAUGUGAAAGCCCACGGCUUAACCGUGGAGGGUCAUUG